UUUCCGUAGGUGAACCUGCGGAAGGAUCAUUAUUGUAUAACCGAGGUGCGAGGGCUGUCGCUGACCCGAAAGGUCGUGCACGCCAGAGUGCCCUCACACACAUCCAUCUCACCCCUAUGUGCACCACCGCGUGGGUCCCCCUUUGGCUUGUUCGGAGGGGGGCUUACGUUUUCACACAAACUUUGUAUGCAGUGUAGAAUGUAUUUUUUGUUUUUGCGAUCACGCAAUCAAUACAACUUUCAACAACGGAUCUCUUGGCUCUC
rnacentral:misc_RNA from 1 species